GAGCGAAAGCCUAAAACUCAAAAGACUUGACGGUGUCCUAAUCCACCUAGAGGAGCCUGUUUCAUAAUCGAUAACCCACGAUAAACCCAACCACCCUUUGAAAUUUCAGCCUAUAUACCGCCGUCGACAGCCCACCUCAUAAAAGAACAAGAGUAGGCCAAAUAGGACCCACCCCUAAAAAGUCAGGUCAAGGUGUAGCUAAUAAGGUGGAGACAAUGGGCUACAUUUUCUAAAAUAGAACACACGAACUAGUUUUUGAAAUAAAACUACAAAGGCGGAUUUAACAGUAAGCU
rnacentral:rRNA from 1 species